GACGAACGCUGGCGGCGUGCUUAACACAUGCAAGUCGAACGGAAAGGCCCUGCUUUUGUGGGGUGCUCGAGUGGCGACCGGGUGAGUAACACGUGAGUAACCUGCCCUUGACUUUGGGAUAACUUCAGGAAACUGGGGCUCAUACCGGAUAGGAGCUCCUGCUGCAUGGUGGGGGUUGGAAAGUUUCGGCGGUUGGGGAUGGACUCGCGGCUUAUCAGCUUGUUGGUGGGGUAGUGGCUUACCAAGGCUUUGACGGGUAGCCGGCCUGAGAGGGUGACAGGCCACAUUGGGACUGAGAUACGACACAGACUCGUACGGGAGGCAGCAGUGGGGAAUAGUGCACAAUGGGCGGAAGCCUGAUGCAGCAACGCCGCGUGCGGGAUGACGGCCUUCGGGUUGUAAACCGCUUUCGCCUGUGACGAAGCGUGAGUGACGGUAAUGGGUAAAGAAGCACCGGCUAACUACGUG
rnacentral:rRNA from 1 species